rnacentral:misc_RNA from 1 species
UUGAUUGAUUUGCUUUCAAUACUCCGACGCAAAGAUGCAGAGUUGAUGGGUCCUCUGGGGACUGCCCGACGCGACGGACGGGUCGCCCCCGAGGCAACAGAGUUGGUUAAACAAAGGGUUGGGAGGUCGAGGGCCGGAGCCCCCUCACUCGGUAAUGAUCCCUCCGCAGGUUCACCUACGGAGA